UACGUAGGGUGCGAGCGUUAAUCGGAAUUAUUGGGCGUAAAGGGCGCGUAGGCGGUCGGAUAAGUCUUGUGUGAAAUCUUCGGGCUCAACUCGAAGUCUGCACAGGAAACUAUCUGGCUUGAGUGUGGGAGAGGUGAGUGGAAUUCCUGGUGUAGCGGUGAAAUGCGUAGAUAUCAGGAGGAACACCUGUGGCGAAAGCGGCUCACUGGACCACAACUGACGCUGAGGCGCGAAAGCUAGGGGAGCAAACAGG
rnacentral:rRNA from 1 species